GUUGGAGAAUCCCAAGUCCUCAUGUGCAUAUGGGAGCUAAACCUAGCUUUUAUCUCUUAUUUAGAGAACCUGGAAGCCCAUUUUCAUUGGGUUAUAGAGAGGAUUGUUGUGAAUAUUAAACACAAACUGCUUCGAAUAAUAUCUGGGACAAGAGACAAAAUGGCAUCAAAUUAUUUGUCACCAUCACUGGCUUCUGGAGGUAAAGAAGGAAUCAAUGAAUCAAUGCAUUGUUUGCUUUGUGGCUCAUACCGUUGGGCUCCAUCAUGGAUUGGGAGAGUGAGAAAUGGAGAACAAUACAUGAUACUCCUGAGCCUUGGUCUCUCUAUGUAAACAGUUUAUAAACUACUGGCUGAGAUGAUUCUGUUCCACUUUUUAAUUCUGCAAAAAAAAAAAUCUUCAAAACAGGAA
rnacentral:lncRNA from 1 species